rnacentral:rRNA from 1 species
GACGAACGCUGGCGGCGUGCCUAAUACAUGCAAGUCGAGCGGAGUUAUUCCUUCGGGAAUAGCUUAGCGGCGGACGGGUGAGUAACACGUGGGUAACCUACCCAUCAGAGGGGGAUAACACUUGGAAACAGGUGCUAAUACCGCAUAACAGUUUAUGCCGCAUGGCAUAAGAGUGAAAGGCGCUUUCGGGUGUCGCUGAUGGAUGGACCCGCGGUGCAUUAGCUAGUUGGUGAGGUAACGGCUCACCAAGGCCACGAUGCAUAGCCGACCUGAGAGGGUGAUCGGCCACACUGGGACUGAGACACGGCCCAGACUCCUACGGGAGGCAGCAGUAGGGAAUCUUCGGCAAUGGACGAAAGUCUGACCGAGCAACGCCGCGUGAGUGAAGAAGGUUUUCGGAUCGUAAAACUCUGUUGUUAGAGAAGAACAAGGACGUUAGUAACUGAACGUCCCCUGACGGUAUCUAACCAGAAAGCCACGGCUAACUACGUGCCAGCCGCCGCCGUAAGAC